rfam:Monodelphis domestica chromosome 3, whole genome shotgun sequence.
UCAGCUUUGGUGCAGUAGGUAGCAUGUCAGUCUCCCAAGCUGAAGGUCUCGAGUUCAAUUCCCGGAAGGAGGG